GAUGAACGCUGGCGGCGUGCCUAAUACAUGCAAGUCGAGCGAACAGACGAGGAGCUUGCUCCUCUGACGUUAGCGGCGGACGGGUGAGUAACACGUGGAUAACCUACCUAUAAGACUGGGAUAACUUCGGGAAACCGGAGCUAAUACCGGAUAAUAUAUUGAACCGCAUGGUUCAAUAGUGAAAGACGGUUUUGCUGUCACUUAUAGAUGGAUCCGCGCCGCAUUAGCUAGUUGGUAAGGUAACGGCUUACCAAGGCAACGAUGCGUAGCCGACCUGAGGGGGUGAUCGGCCACACUGGAACUGAGACACGGUCCAGACUCCUACGGGAGGCAGCAGUAGGGAAUCUUACGCAAUGGGCGAAAGCCUGACGGAGCAACGCCGCGUGAGUGAUGAAGGUCUUCGGAUCGUAAAACUCUGUUAUUAGGGAAGAACAAAUGUGUAAGUAACUAUGCACGUCUUGACGGUACCUAAUCAGAAAGCCACGGCUAACUACGUG
rnacentral:rRNA from 1 species